rnacentral:lncRNA from 1 species
UGGGGCAGGCCAUGCUGAGCGGCAUGACGAAGACGAAGGUGCGCAGCGCGAACGGGAGGGCGCCGGAGCCGGGCAGGGCGGAGAGAUGCGCCAGCGGUCCGGAUCGGGGCCGUGUCAUUGUCAGCUACCUGGGGAUGCGCCUCUCGCUCCCUCACUGUCUUUGCGUGUGUGUUAGUGUGUGUGUGUGUGUGUGUGUGUGUGUGUCGGCCUGUCUACGCACUACACGAAGGCUUAGUUGGUCUUCUUUCGUCUAGUGGGCGCACUCAGGUCUUGUUUUUGUGUCUUUAACUAGGACUUCUAUUUGGAACUGAGUCCGACAGCUCAGGACUGGCUGCUCAAACUCCACAAUUUAAUGAAAAAUCUCAGAUGAUGACUCAGAAAACCUCUAAUGAUCUGAGGAAUAUAUUAAGGGAUUCCAGAGUCAAAGGCUGAUCAUGGAGGGCAUUGAUGAGGGAAGACUUCAGGUAGGAGGUGCAUUCUAGCAGGAACUGAAGAGAAUGAAGUCCAGUUGGUAGAAACGGAGGGGGUGGCUUGGAUAAAUCUUAUAUGUAAUUAAUCAGAAGUACCUGGCAGGUGGCUGGAGACCAGAAGAAAGGAACACUGGAAGAAUGAAAACGGUUGUGAUGCACUGCAGUGUGAAAAUAUGCCCUUGAGCCUUAAAGAAAGGGGCUUAAGGCCGGGCGCGGUGGCUCACGCCUGUACUCCCAGCACACAGAUCACGAGGUCAAGAGAUUUGAGACCAUCCUGGCCAACACGGUGAAACCCCGUCUCUACUAAAAAUACAAAAAAUUAUGUGGGAGUGGUGGCGCACGCCUGUAGUCCCAGCUACUCGGGAGGCUGAGGCAGGAGAAUCGCUGGAACCCAGGAGGCGGAGGAGGUUACAGUGAGCCGAGAUCGCGCCACUGUACUCCAGCCUGGCGACAGAGCGAGACUCCGUCUCAAAAAAAAAAAAACAGAAAACAACCAACUAAAGAAAGAAAUAAAAAGAAAAGAAGAAAGGAAAGAAAGGAGAGAAAGAAAAGGAAAGAAGGAGAGAGAGAAGGAAGGAAGGAGAGAGAGAGAAAGGAAAGAAAAAAGAAGGAAAGAAGGAAGGGAAGGAAGGAAAGGAAGAAAGAAAAGCACAGCACUAUGGACCUAGUGCUUAAUUGUACCCAAGACGUUUUUCAGCACCAGGACAAGCAUCAUUGCUCAAGGAGAGCUUGGUUGACAACAGGAAGUUAGAAGGAGUCUGAAUUGUAACAAGUGUGGCAAGAGCACCAAGAUCACUGUGUGUGUGUGUUCACAGAAAAUGUACCAAAGGGAGAAGCCUUAAAAACAAAUGGCAGGUGUGGGCACCAGAAAAUCAACACAUCGGGAAGAGAAAAAUGGCAUGGUUUUACUGUAAUUGUAAAAAGGCGCCCUAAAGAGUGUCUAUCGGAUCACCCUCAAGUUGGGUCAAACGGCUCCUCUUCUCGGCUUU